rnacentral:rRNA from 1 species
UGCCAGCCGCCGCGGUAAUACUGAAGGUGCAAGCGUUAAUCGGAAUCACUGGGCGUAAAGCGCCCGUAGGUGGCUUUGUAAGUCAGAUGUGAAAGCCCACGGCUCAACCGUGGAAUUGCAUUUGAAACUGUAAACCUAGAAUAUGGGAGAGGUAGAUGGAAUUUCUGGUGUAGGGGUAAAUUCCGUAGAGAUCAGAAGGAAUACCGAUUGCGAAGGCGAUCUACUGGGACGUUAUUGACGCUGAGACGCGAAAGCGUGGGGAGCAAACAGGAUUAGAUA